rnacentral:rRNA from 1 species
GACAGAGGUGCCGAGCGUUAGGCGGAAUCACUGGGCUUAAAGCGUGUGUAGGCGGGUCCGUAAGUACCUUGUGAAAUCCCACGGCUCAACCGUGGAACUGCUUGGUAUACUGCGGGUCUUGAGCCACUUAGGGGCAAGCGGAACAAACGGUGGAGCGGUGAAAUGCGUAGAUUUCGUUUGGAACGCCAAUGGUGAAAACAGCUUGCUGGGAGUGUGCUGACGCUGAGACACGAAAGCCAGGGGAGCAAACGGG